rnacentral:rRNA from 1 species
GGCUCAGGAUGAACGCUAGCGGCAGGCUUAACACAUGCGAAGUCGAGGGGCAUCGGGAGUAGCAAUACUUGCCGGCGACCGGCGCAAGGGUGCGUAACGCGUGAGCAACAUGCCCGUAUCAGGGGGAUAAUCCAUGGAAACGUGGUCUAAUACCCCAUAGUAAUUAUGUAAGGCAUCUUAUAUAAUUUAAAGCUUUGGUGGAUACGGAUUGGCUCGCGUGACAUUAGCUGGAUGGUAAGGUAACGGCUUACCAUGGCUACGAUGUCUAGGGGUUCUGAGACGGAAGGUCCCCCCACACUGGAACUGAGACACGGUCCAGACUCCUACGGGAGGCAGCAGUGAGGAAUAUUGGACAAUGGAUGGAAAUCUGAUCCAGCCAUGCCGCGUGCAGGAAAAGACGGCCCUAUGGGUUGUAAACUGCUUUUGUAUGGGAGCAAUAAGGGCUACGUGUAGUCCGAUGAGAGUACCAUACGAAUAAGCACCGGCUAACUCCGUGCCAGCCGCAGC